UAUUAACUAAUAGAAGUAUUUAGAAAAAUUGUUGUAAGAUAGUAAUGUUUGUGAAUUUAUAUAGUAAUUUACUGUGAAGGAAGAAAUGAAUUAGAAGAAGAAAUAAGUUAUCCCUUUAGUAUCAGGGUUUUAUGAUUUUUUGCAGAGGAUUCUGUAAUCUCGAAAUUGAGUGAUCUAUUAUUCUAUAUUGUGAAUUGUUGUAAAAAUUUAUUUAAUGGGGUAAAUAGUGGUGAGAUGCGUAAUCGCACUUUAUAUAUCUAGUUCCCUUUUAGGAGAGUAAUCUUAAAAAUUAGUAAUUUAAAAGAUUUUUGUAGAUAAGUACAAAAUAAUUUUACUAUCGGUUGUAAAUAUAAUAUUAGGUUUAGUAGUGGCUGAGGUGUUUAAUAACGAGUUUUGUUGGUAGAGAUAAAAAUUUUUGAAUGGAAGUGUUUUGAAUUUUUGAAAUUUAUUUUAAUGUAGAAAUGAGUAGAAAAGAGAUAGGAAAGUUAUGUAAAAUGGAAAGAGUGAUUUUAGCAAAGUCCGAUGAAGGAACUAGGCAAAAAUUUUAUCCGCCUGUUUAUCAAAAACAUGGUUUUUUGGUGAUUAUAAAAAAUUUGGUCUGCUCACUGCUAUUAGUAAAUACCCGCAGUAUUUUGACUGUGCAAAGGUAGCAUAAUCAUUUGCCUUUUAAUUAAAGGCUGGCAUGAAUGAUUUAACGAGAUAAAAUCUGUCUUCAACGGAGUGUUUGAAUUUGAUUAAUUGGUAAAAAGGCCAUUAUGAGUAUGGGGGACGAUAAGACCCUAUUAAGCUUGAUUUUUGAAUUUUACUGGGGCGGUAAAUUAAGAUUAUGAUCUUAAUGAGGGAGGAUAAAAUGUAAGACCCAAUAUUAUCGAGUGACGGAUAAAGUUACUAUAGGGAUAACAGCUUAAUUUUUUUAAAAAGUUCUUAUUUUAAGAAAAGUUUGUGACCUCGAUGUUGAAUUAAGGAUUCUUUUUGGUGAAGGAGCUAAGGAAGAAAGUCUGUUCGACUUUUAAAUCUUUACGUGAUUUGAGUUCAGAUCGGCGAAAGCCAGAUCGGUUUCUAUCCUCAUAUAGAGUAUUUAUCUCUUAGUACGAAAGGACCAGGGAUUAAUUUUUAAAAUAUUAAUUUUUUUAGAAAUUUAG
rnacentral:rRNA from 1 species